GUGCUCACCAGGGCUCUGUCUUUUCCUUGUGGUCCUGACCUGCCCACCAUGAGCAAAAGAAUUUGGACUGGUUGGGGGUGUCCUGUCCAAGUGGACAACAGGACUCCACGGUUUUCAGUACAACA